UGUUUUUGCAGCUGGGAAACACGGAGGAAUACAUCGACGGGCAAUUGACAGGAAACCUUGGAGAGAUCUUGAUCAGAUGCAACAAUGUCUUGUAUGUCCGAGGUGUGCCAGAAGAUGAAGAACUUGAAGAUGCUGAUCAAGACUAGUUUAUGCUUUUAAGGACUUAGAAAUUGAUCGUCUCUGUAUUUUUUAAUCUUGUAUUCUAUGAGCUAUUAUUCAACCCAUGUUCGUGAGAUUUGAGUGUGAUGUUUUUAUGAGACCUUGAAAGUAAAACGAACUUCCUGCCA